rnacentral:rRNA from 1 species
GACGAACGCUGGCGGCGUGCUUAACACAUGCAAGUCGAACGGAGUGGCGAACGGGUGAGUCACACGUGGGUGACCUGCCCUGCACUUCGGGAUAAGCCUGGGAAACUGGGUCUAAUACCGGAUAGUGUGGGAUGGGCCCGCGGCCUAUGAGCUUGUUGGUGGGGUAAUGGCAUACCAAGGCGGGGCCGGGUAGCCGGCCUGAGAGGGUGGACGGCCACAUUGGGACUGAGACAGGGCCCAGACUCCUACGGGAGGCAGCAGGGGGGAAGAUUGCACAAUGGGCGGAAGCCUGAGGCAGCGACCCCGCGGGGGGGAUGACGGCCUUCGGGUUGUAAACUCCUUUCACCAUCGAAGCGUUACCCGCAGAAGAAGCACCGGCUAACUCCGUGCCAGCAGCCGCGGUAAUUC